rnacentral:rRNA from 1 species
AUUGAACGCUGGCGGCAGGCAUAACACCUGCAAGUCGAGCGAGCGGCGGACGGGUGAGUAAUGUAUGGGGACUGCCCGAUCGAGGGGGAUAACUACUGGAAACGGUGGCUAAUACCGCAUACUAUCGGAUAACCCAUAUGGGAUUAGCUAGUAGGUGGGGUAAAGGCUCACCUAGGCGACGAUCUCUAGCUGGUCUGCGAGGAUGAUCAGACACACUGGGACUGAGACACGACCCAGCCUCCUCCGGAGGCUGCAGUGGUGAAUAUGUCACAAUGGGUGCAAGCCUGUUGCAUCCAUGCCGCGUGUAUGAAGAAGGCCUUAGGGUUAGAAAGUAUUUUCAGCGGGGAGGCGUUACCCGCAGAAGAAACACCGACUAAGUCCGUGCCAGCAGCCGCGGUAAUAC